rnacentral:rRNA from 1 species
UACGUAGGGUGCGAGCGUUGUCCGGAAUUAUUGGGCGUAAAGGGCUCGUAGGCGGUUUGUCGCGUCGGGAGUGAAAACCUUGGGCUUAACUCAGGGCUUGCUUUCGAUACGGGCAGACUAGAGGUAUGCAGGGGGAGAACGGAAUUCCUGGUGUAGCGGUGAAAUGCGCAGAUAUCAGGAGGAACACCGGUGGCGAAGGCGGUCUCGUGGGCAUGAUCUGACGCUGAGGAGCGAAAGUGUGGGGAGCGAACAGG